GACGAACGCUGGCGGCGUGCUUAACACAUGCAAGUCGAACGGAAAGGCCCCCUUGUGGGGUACUCGAGUGGCGAACGGGUGAGUAACACGUGAGUAACCUACCCUUGACUUUGGGAUAACUUCAGGAAACUGGGGCUAAUACCGGAUAGGAGCUCCUGCUGCAUGGUGGGGGUUGGAAAGUUUUGGCGGUUGGGGAUGGACUCGCGGCUUAUCAGCUUGUUGGUGGGGUAGUGGCUCACCAAGGCUUUGACGGGUAGCCGGCCUGAGAGGGGGACCGGCCACAUUGGGACUGAGAUACGGCCCAGACUCCUACGGGAGGCAGCAGUGGGGAAUAUUGCACAAUGGGCGGAAGCCUGAUGCAGCAACGCCGCGUGCGGGAUGACGGCCUUCGGGUUGUAAACCGCUUUCGCCUGUGACGAAGCGUGAGUGACGGUAAUGGGUAAAGAAGCACCGGCUAACUACGUG
rnacentral:rRNA from 1 species